AUUAGAAUGGCUGAGUAGUCUAAGACGUUAGGCUCAAGUUCUAAUCCUUGGAAGGUGUGGGUUCAAAUCCCACUUCUGAUA